CCCUACGGGGGGCAGCAGUAGGGAAUAUUGCUCAAUGGGGGAAACCCUGAAGUAGCAACGCCGCGUGGAGGAUGAAGGUUUUCGGAUUGUAAACUCCUUUUGUUAGAGAAGAUAAUGACGGUAUCUAACGAAUAAGCACCGGCUAACUCCGUGCCAGCAGCCGCGGUAAUACGGCGGGUGCAAGCGUUACUCGGAAUCACUGGGCGUAAAGCGCGCGUAGGCGGGAUAGCAAGUCAGAUGUGAAAUCAUAUGGCUUAACCAUAGAACUGCAUUUGAAACUGUUACUCUCGAGUAUGGGAGAGGUU
rnacentral:rRNA from 1 species